rnacentral:rRNA from 1 species
UACGGAGGGAGCUAGCGUUGUUCGGAAUUACUGGGCGUAAAGCGCACGUAGGCGGCUUUGUAAGUUAGGGGUGAAAGCCUGGAGCUCAACUUCAGAAUUGCCCUUAAGACUGCAUCGCUUGAAUCCAGGAGAGGUGAGUGGAAUUCCGAGUGUAGAGGUGAAAUUCGUAGAUAUUCGGAAGAACACCAGUGGCGAAGGCGACUAACUGGACAUGUAUUGACGCUGAGGUGACGAAGCGGAGG